GUAAAAGAGACUUAUUUUACAUUGCUAUGGAAACUACUUUGCCCCAAAUUUGGUCCUCAGCCUUCAUAAGAUUAUUUAUCAAGGACAAAAGGAAAAUCUUAAAGGUCUUCUCCAAAAUCAUUGGUGAAGAACCUUCUGAGCAAUCACGGAUCCAGGUCACGAUCUAUGACAAUGAGAGUAAUUGGCUGAAAUGAAAUUAAGGAGGUCAUUGAAUACAAAGAGGUCAAGGAACUGAGAGGCCAGAAUGUUGAGAGAGUCACUGACACCUGAUCAUCAGCACCUGACAUCAGCACUUCUGCUGAUGAGUAAUAUAACUUUGAACAAGUCACAUAACCUCUUUAAGAUGCAAUUUUUUCAUCUGCAAAAUGGGAAUAAACCAGAGCUGCAGUAAUUGGAACACGGGAGGAACUCAAAAGUAUGUCAGCUUCUUUCUCACUUUCCUCAUUUAUGGCACUGUAAGCCAAAGGAACUUGAGGAAAAAGGUUUACUCACAGAAUUAUUUUUGAAAAAUCUUCCACAACUAAAUUGUGCCUAUUGGCAUCUUCAGCCACAUAUUAGAAGUUUCCAUUUUCACUUACAAAAGCUUUUUCUUCAUGGAGUGAAGACAUGGUCAGUCUUCUAUGUCGAUUGAGCUCUAGCCUUCCACAGAUCUGCUGUAUAGAAGGAAAUAUUCCAUCCCAACUGAAUCAAACUGAUUUUGGACAGCAAAUGGCAAAUCUCCCUUCCUACCCUGUCCACUACUUGGUGAUGCCUUCAUUUACAAAACUACAAUCAAAGAAAAUUGGACUAGUUCUGAUGAUAUAUUUUCUUUUCUUCUACUAAAAGUAGCAGCACUUGGCAGUUGAAAUAAAUGAGAAGGAUAUUCUUCCUGAUUUAAAUCACAAAUAAAGUCAGGCAGAGUAACAGUCAUUGGUGAUAAAGAUUCUGAUCUCAAAAACUUUUCAAUUUAGUGAGAAGACAGACAAGAAUAAACAAAUCGAAAGAACAAAUUGAUGGAGAAGAUAUGAGAAAU
rnacentral:lncRNA from 10 species